UACGUAGGGUGCGAGCGUUGUCCGGAAUUAUUGGGCGUAAAGGGCUCGUAGGCGGUUUGUCGCGUCGGGAGUGAAAUCCACUGGCUUAACUGGUGGCUUACUUUCGAUACGGGCAGACUGGAGGUAUGCAGGGGAGAACGGAAUUCCUGGUGUAGCGGUGAAAUGCGCAGAUAUCAGGAGGAACACCGGUGGCGAAGGCGGUUCUCUGGGCAUGUCCUGACGCUGAGGAGCGAAAGUGUGGGGAGCGAACAGG
rnacentral:rRNA from 1 species